CCCCUAGAUGUUCUGGGCCGCACGCGCGCUACACUGAACAGUUCAACAAGUCUUAACCUUGGCCGAUAGGUCUGGGUAAUCUUUGAACGCUGUUCGUGAUUGGGAUAGACCUUUGCAAUUAUGGGUCUUCAACGAGGAAUUCCUAGUAAACGCAAGUCAUCAACUUGCAUUGAUUACGUCCCUGCCCUUUGUACACACCGCCCGUCGCACCUACCGAUUGAAUGGUCCGGUGAAGCCUCCGGAUUGGCGCGCACCCCGGUGCCGCCGAGAAGUUGGCUAAACCUUACCAUUUAGAGGAAGGUGAAGUCGUAACA
rnacentral:rRNA from 1 species